AGGAUAAACGCUGGCGGCGUGCCUAACACAUGCAAGUCGAACGCCCUACGCAAGUAGGGAGUGGCGGACGGGUGAGGAACACGUGGGUAAUCUGCCCUUCGGUGAGGAAUACCGGCGAGAAAUCGCCGACAAUACCGCAUACGUUUCACGGAAGUGAAAGAAAGUCGUAAGACGCCGAGGGAUGAGCCUGCGCCCGAUUAGUUUGUUGGUGGGGUAAAAGCCUACCAAGACUACAAUCGGUAGCUGGUCUGAGAGGACGAUCAGCCACACUGGGAUUGAGAACGGCCCAGACUCCUACGGGGGGCAGCAGUGAGGAAUUUCGUCAAUGGGGGCAACCCUGAACGAGCAACGCCGCGUGCAGGAAGAAGGUUUUCGGAUCGUAAACUGCUUUUCUGUGGGAAGAGAACGGACGGUACCACAGGAAGAAGCCCCGGCUAACGUACGCGCCAGCAGCCGC
rnacentral:rRNA from 1 species